rnacentral:rRNA from 1 species
CCUACGGGAGGCAGCAGUCGGGAAUAUUGCGCAAUGGAGGAAACUCUGACGCAGUGACGCCGCGUAUAGGAAGAAGGUUUUCGGAUUGUAAACUAUUGUCAUUAGGGAAGAUAAAAGACUGUACCUAAGGAGGAAGCCCCGGCUAACUAUGUGCCAGCAGCCGCGGUAAUACGGAGGAUGCGAGCGUUAUCCGGAUUUAUUGGGUUUAAAGGGUGCGUAGGCGGUUUUUUAAGUUAGUGGUUAAACGUCGGGGCUUCACCUUGAUUUGCCAUUAAUACUGUAAGACUCGAGUUCAGACGAGGUAG